rnacentral:rRNA from 1 species
GACGAACGCUGGCGGCGUGCUUAACACAUGCAAGUCGAACGGAAAGGCCCUGCUUUUGUGGGGUGCUCGAGUGGCGAACGGGUGAGUAACACGUGAGUAACCUGCCCUUGACUUUGGGAUAACUUCAGGAAACUGGGGCUAAUACCGGAUAGGAGCUCCCGCUGCAUGGUGGGGGUUGGAAAGUUUCGGCGGUUGGGGAUGGACUCGCGGCUUAUCAGCUUGUUGGUGGGGUAGUGGCUUACCAAGGCUUUGACGGGUAGCCGGCCUGAGAGGGUGACCGGCCACAUUGGGACUGAGAUACGGCCCAGACUCCUACGGGAGGCAGCGGUGGGGAAUAUUGCACAAUGGGCGGAAGCCUGAUGCAGCAACGCCGCGUGCGGGAUGACGGCCUUCGGGUUGUAAACCGCUUUCGCCUGUGACGAAGCGUGAGUGACGGUAAUGGGUAAAGAAGCACCGGCUAACUACGUG